GACGAACGCUGGCGGCGUGCUUAACACAUGCAAGUCGAACGGAAAGGCCCUGCUUGCAGGGUACUCGAGUGGCGAACGGGUGAGUAACACGUGGGUGAUCUGCCCUGCACUUCGGGAUAAGCCUGGGAAACUGGGUCUAAUACCGGAUAGGAGCCAUUUUUAGUGUGAUGGUUGGAAAGUUUUUUCGGUGUAGGAUGAGCUCGCGGCCUAUCAGCUUGUUGGUGGGGUAAUGGCCUACCAAGGCGGCGACGGGUAGCCGGCCUGAGAGGGUGGACGGCCACAUUGGGACUGAGAGGCGGCCCAGACUCCGACGGGAGGCAGAAGUGGGGAAUAUUGCACAAUGGGCGCAAGCCUGAUGCAGCGACGCCGCGUGGGGGAUGACGGCCUUCGGGUUGUAAACUCCUUUCGCUAGGGACGAAGCUUUUUGUGACGGUACCUAGAUAAGAAGCACCGGCUAACUACGUG
rnacentral:rRNA from 1 species